AACGAACGCUGGCGGCAUGCCUAACACAUGCAAGUCGAACGAGACCUUCGGGUCUAGUGGCGCACGGGUGCGUAACGCGUGGGAACCUGCCCUUAGGUUCGGAAUAACUCCCCGAAAGGGGUGCUAAUACCGGAUAAUGUCUUCGGACCAAAGAUUUAUCGCCUUUGGAUGGGCCGCGUUGGAUUAGCUAGUUGGUAGGGUAAAAGCCUACCAAGGCGACGAUCCAUAGCUGGUCUGAGAGGAUGAUCAGCCACACUGGGACUGAGACACGGCCCAGACUCCUACGGGAGGCAGCAGUGGGGAAUAUUGGACAAGGGGCGAAAGCCUGAUCCAGCAAUGCCGCGUGAGUGAUGAAGGCCUUAGGGUUGUAAAGCUCUUUUACCCGGGAUGAUAAUGACAGUACCGGGAGAAUAAGCUCCGGCUAACUCCGUG
rnacentral:rRNA from 1 species